UUUGUCAGAACUAUUCGGUAUAAAUAAAGUCCAUAAGUAUAAGGCCUAUAUAAGAUGUAUGGACAUGAGCCUAAAAGACAACCAUUUUGUCUUAUUUUAAAAGGCACAGUGUAUCUUUUCUUCUCCUAUUACUCUGAUAUUGCUUACCU